rnacentral:misc_RNA from 1 species
CACCGGAUGUGCUCUCCGGUCUGAUGAGUCCGUGAGGACGAAACAAGCUGACCCUGAAGUUCACUACGCCGGCCAUUCAAACAUGAGGAUUACCCAUGU